rnacentral:rRNA from 1 species
UUCGCAAUGCCCGAAAGGGUGAACGAGCGACGCCGCGUGCGGGAUGAAGGGUUUCGGCUUGUAAACCGCUUUUCUUUGGGAAGAAGGUCUGUCUCGUGCAGAUGGGCUCGACGGUACCAGAGGAAUAAGCCUCGGCUAACUCCGUGCCAGCAGCCGCGGUAAGACGGAGGAGGCAAGCGUUGUUCGGAAUUAUUGGGCGUAAAGGGCGCGUAGGCGGAUCGGUAAGUCUGGCGUGAAAUCUCCACCGCUUAACGGGGAGAGGUCGCUGGAAACUACCGAUCUGGAGUUCGGCAGGGGACCAUGGAAUUCCAGGUGUAGCGGUGGAAUGCGUAGAUAUCUGGAAGGAACGCCCGUGGCGAAAGCGAGGUCCUGGACGUCUGCUGACGCUGAGACGCGAAAGCUAGGGGAGCAAACGGGAUUAGAUACCCCGGUAGUCCUAGCCGUAAACGAUGGGCACUAAGUAGAGGGGUUUU